UGGACGUCCAGUGUCCUAAAAUCAUUCAUGAAGGGGUCCAUUUCCUGCACUGUGGUGCAGUGUCACCUUGCUGAUCUAUCCCCUUCCCCACAUGGGGGUCGGGGUGGGAGCAGGGAAGGCUCCCGGGAGGAGGAGGCUUGGGUUUUGUAAGAGGAGUAGGAGUUUGCCAGAUGGCCUGGAUGGAAACCCCUUCCACAUGUUCAUUCACCAACUCAUUCAUUCCUGUCACAAAAUUACAACAAAUUUAGUUUAAAGGCCUUAAUUGACUUUUGUUUGUUUGUUGCUUGCUAGGUCAUCUGUUUAAUUUUUUGAAGACUCACCAAACUGUUUUCCAAAGUGACUGCAUUAUUUUACAUUCCCAGCUUCUCCAUGUCCUUGCCAAAUCACCCCUUUCUUUCCUCCCUCCCUUCCCUUCUCCUUCCUUCUUUCCCUUUCUCUUGCUCUUUCUUUCCAACCUAGUGAGUGUGAAGUGGCAGCAAUUUGUAGUUUUGAUUCACAUUUUCUUUUUCUUUCUUUC
rnacentral:lncRNA from 1 species